CGUAAUGCUAAGUGUGGGAUGGAUGCAGUGGAGUCUGGAACUAAACCAUGUGAUCUUGCCAAGGAAGCUCUUCAUGAGCACCCCUUACACCAUAUGACACUUUCAAAAGCUAUCAUCCUUGGAUAUUUAGGCAUAUUUUCUGUUUAUUGGGUCUUUUGCUUUUUUAGGUUUUUUGCACAGCUGAAGGACAUUUUAGGAAUCCGUCACUUUUAUUACAACAG
rnacentral:misc_RNA from 1 species